rnacentral:snRNA from 1 species
CCCAAGGCUCGCUUCGGC